rnacentral:rRNA from 1 species
GUAGGUGGCAAGCGUUGUCCGGAAUUAUUGGGCGUAAAGCGCGCGCAGGCGGUCCUUUAAGUCUGAUGUGAAAGCCCACGGCUCAACCGUGGAGGGUCAUUGGAAACUGGGGGACUUGAGUACAGAAGAGGAAAGCGGAAUUCCAAGUGUAGCGGUGAAAUGCGUAGAGAUUUGGAGGAACACCAGUGGCGAAGGCGGCUUUCUGGUCUGUAACUGACGCUGAGGCGCGAAAGCGUGGGGAGCAAACAGGAUUAGAUACCCUGGUAGUCCACGCCGUAAACGAUGAGUGCUAAGUGUUAGGGGGUUUCCGCCCCCUUAGUGCUGCAGCUAACGCAUUAAGCACUCCGCCUGGGGAGUACGGCCGCAAGGCUG